rnacentral:lncRNA from 1 species
AUCUAGACAUGGCUCAAGAUCCCAAGGCCGGCCCUGCCCAGCCAGGCCAGAAGAGGCAGCAGGGCACACGUGUUUUCUGGGUCUAUGAAUACCAGAGGAUCCGGAUGCCCACACUCAUCAACCACAUGCCUGUCAAGAUCCGGAGGGCCCACAUGGGCAUGGGGGUCAGGAGCGGCUUCAGCCCCCAACGGGUCUCCAGGAACAGCCCCCUGCCCUCUGGGCAGAAAAAGUUCCCCACCGAGGAGCUGCAUGACAUCCAGGGGGCGCUGUGGCAGAUCAAAGCCCAGGUGGACAGUCUGCUGCAGAGCCUGGAGCGCAUGGACCGGCAGCAGGUCCCACCCGCAGGUCUGAUCCCCAUGCUCUGUGGGAGCCCAGCUUUCCCCACUCCUGAAGAUGCCCGGUGCCUGGGGCCCUGCCUGUGCCUUUCCCUGUCUUCAGGUCUCCCUUCCCGGAGUACACUCCCCACUCCCCAUCCCUGGGCUGUACUUGAGGCUCAAGGACUCUUGUGGCUUCUGAGUCACCCCCACCCACUCAGCAACCGCCUGGAGACAGAGCCACACGUCCCAGCCCAUCUGUUUCUUGCCCUCUUGAGUCUUAGAGGCCCUAGGUCAUUGCUGGGCAUUAAGUGGCCUCUCUGGGGUCAGCUGGGGCCUCCAAACCCAGCCAUUGACUGAUGACCUUCUCUGCACAGCCACAAAGGACAGUGGAAAAAACAGGGGUCCUGGUAGCAAGGGCUCCUCCUGCAGCUCUGAGCCCCCGCAGAAGCCCCAGAGCGAGGAGGCUGGUCCAGAGGCAGAUGGCUACGAGGGCGGCACAGACACGGAGUGGACAGUGAGUGACCCGGCCCCGCUGCCCCAUCUCCACCGUACUUGUGUUGGGUUCCUUGUGGCCUCCCUGUGAGCAAGGGGGAGGGCCUCUCUGGUCAGUCCAGGAGCCCGAGGUAGUGCGGAGGGGGAGGUGUGUUCCCUCUGUCACAGAGUCAUGCCCAGUAGGCUGGGCCCCUGUCCUGUUUUCUGCCUCCCAACCCUGGGCUUGGAGGGCUCAGCUGUGCCAGGGUCGGUUCUAGGCUGAAAUACCUUCUCCCAGAAGGCAGUGGGGGGACAGGGCUGGAGCACCGUAAAGGGAAUGUCACAGGUGUGCCCCAUGGCCCCAGACCCCUGUCUGAGACCCAGCUGGAAAGCUUGUCUUGGGUUUCGGCCAGGUGCAGGGGCUCACGCCUGUAAUCCCAGCACUUUGGGAGGCCAAGGCAGGUGGAUCACCUGAGGUUGGGAGUUUGAGACCAGCCUGACCAACAUGGAGAAACCCUGUCUCUACUUAAAAUACAAAAAAUUGGCUGGGCGUGGUGGCUCACACCAUUAAUCCCACCACUUUGGGAGGCUGAGGCACGUGGAUUGCGAGGUCAGGAGUUUGAGACCAGCCUGGCCAAGAUGGUGAAACUCCGUCUCUACUAAAAAUACAAAAAUUAGCUGGGCACGGUGGUGAGCGCCUGUAAUCCCAGCCACUUGGGAGGCUAAGGCAGGAGAAUCACUUGAACCCAUGAGGCGGAGGUUGCAGUGAGCCGAGAUCAUGCCCCUGCGCUCUAGCCUGGGUGACAGAGACUGCAUCUCAAAAAAUAAUAUAUUAGCCUGGUGUGGUGGCGCGUGCCUGUAAUCCCAGCUACUCUGGAGGCUGAGAGAAUUGCUUGAACCCGGGAGGCGGAGGUUGCUGAGCUGAGAUCGCACCAUUGCACUCCAGCCUGGGCAACAAGGGCAAAACUCCGUCUCAGGAAAAAAAAAAAAAAAAAACCCAGCUUCCUGCGCUCUUCCUGCUGCUGCUGCAGGGUUUCUGGCUGCCGCAUGGACCAUGCCCCCUGGGGAAGCUGUGGCACACUAACCUUCCUGGAACUGGUAACAGCCCUGUGUGUGGCAUUAGAGUACCUGAAUAUUCCCUGCCCAUCCAAAACCACCACCUCUUGCUGGCCUGAGGCAGGCCAUGCCCGGCCCACAAUGGGGCUGGAGCCCUCCCCCAUCUACCCACCCAGCUCUGUGUUCGGUCUGCUGGGCUCAGGAGGGCUUUCACUGCUGCCCAGAUCCUGAGUCACACCUGUAAUAUCUGGGAAAAGAAUGGCUACAUGUAGACGACUGCUUUCUUUAGCCUGGUGGUUCUGAGUUUCUAGGUCUUAAGUAGAAUAUAGAGAAGCCCUGAGCUGCUAAAGCUCUGGGGAGGAAAUGGAAAUCGGGGUGUGGGGGAGACUAGAUGUUGAGUAGGUGGCCCCCCUUUCCUAGCCUCCCAUGCCUCCGGCCCCUCUGCCACUAUCCUGCUUCUGUUUUCCCUACAGGUGAAGAACCACGCUGAAGACCAGGCCAGCCAGGAGGCAGCAGGAACCCCUCCAGCCUCAUCAGCUCCUGGCAUUCUCGAUAGACAGCUCCUUGCCUUGCGUAGGUUUUGAAAGCCACCUUAGCAACCUGAAUGCCUGAUCUGGAGCUGGGGCAAUGGAAGUGGACACAGGGCUUGCCAGACAAGCAGAGGGCCAACCUGUAGUGGUGGGUUUUAGCUUCUUUAGAGGUUGCAUUUCGAGAUGAUGGUCCUGGGACUGACACGGUUAGGAGGUGGCCUGGAACUGCACCAGGUCGCCAUCCUCAUGAAGCUGAGGCUCUCUUGCAAGGGGCAGAUGACAGCCCAUCCCCACCCCACCCCACCCCUCAGAGGGCACCCUCAGCCUUGUCUGAAUGCAGACACAGCUGAUCUUCACUCCCCUCCCGAUGCACCGCCAGUCAACAGAUAGCCAACAGAUCUCCCUGAGUUUCCAAUCUCCCUGAAACUGCUGGAAUGUUCUCAGUGUGUACCCCACACAGCCCUCUUUGGGCUCCAGACUCCCCAUCUACUCUAGGAAGUCACCCUUCAGAAUUACAUUAUGUCCUCUCCCCACUGGUGUGAUACUAUUUCAGACCUGCUCUAGAAAGACACGUUAUGUCAGAAGGGAAAAAAUAAAAUUUGUAUUUUUCCUGGUCAGGGGUUCUAGGUGUGGCCCCAGAAACUCAUUCUGGUCCUUGGGCUGACCCAGGCCGGCCCUUCCUAGAGAAGCUGAGUGCAGAGAGAGGGGACCAGGCCGCCUUCCAAAUGGCAGUCACCUAGCUUCCUACCAUGCAGUCUUGAGCCCAAACCAGCAGAGCUGGUAGGGACACAGGAAAGACCCCACCUCGUGGCCAGUCAGUCAGGUUGUACCUGGCCUUCCUAGCAGUGCACCUGCCCUCUGCGGUGCUGCUCAGGGUCUUCCUUGUAGGACCAGGGUGCCACUUCUCACCAGCAGUGGAGGCUCGGGUUGUGCCAUUCUGUACAUGGCCAAGGACAGAUGGCUUCUACCCAGACCAAAACCCUUUUCAGCUACCCAGCACCAAGCCAGGUUGGGGCACGAGGUGCACUCAGCGCACUUCUGGGGCCGUACUUUUUUUACUGAGACGGAGUCUUGCUCUUGUUGCCCAGGCUGGAGUGCAAUGGUGCGAUCUCCACUCACCGCAACCUCCACCUCCCGGGUUCAAGCGAUUCUCCUGCCUCAGCCUCCCGAGU